rnacentral:ncRNA from 1 species
GGGAGCCGGAUGAGCUGAGAGGUUCACGUCCGGUUCUGCGAGGGGCUGGGGGUGCAAACAGGGUGCAACUCUGC